GACAGAGGUGCCAAGCGUUGUCCGGAAUUAUUGGGCGUAAAGAGCUCGUAGGCGGUUUGUCGCGUCGAAUGUGAAAACCCGGGGCUCAACCCCGGGCCUGCAUUCGAUACGGGCAGACUAGAGUUCGGUAGGGGAGUCUGGAAUUCCUGGUGUAGCGGUGAAAUGCGCAGAUAUCAGGAGGAACACCGGUGGCGAAGGCGGGACUCUGGGCCGAUACUGACGCUGAGGAGCGAAAGCGUGGGGAGCAAACAGG
rnacentral:rRNA from 1 species